rnacentral:rRNA from 1 species
UGGCCUACCAAGACAGCGAUGCGUAGCCGACCUGAGAGGGUGAUCGGCCACAUUGGAACUGAGAUACGGUCCAGACUCCUACGGGAGGCAGCAGUGGGGAAUAUUGCACAAUGGGCGAAAGCCUGAUGCAGCACGCCGCGUGAGUGAUGAAGGUCUUCGGAUUGUAAAGCUCUGUCUUUUGGG